rnacentral:lncRNA from 1 species
UGUGAAGGUCCCUUGGUAUCUUUUGGACAUGUUUGGGUGAAAUUGGAGUGAAAACGGAAACUUUAGAAUUUUCUGUAAAGAACGGGACUGAGAAAAAUUAGCGGAAAAUGCACAGUGUCAGAAAAUUAUGAAAAUUGGCAGAGAUGUCAGGAACAUUUUUAUGAGGCUAGAUUUGAAGUUUCAGAUUAUUCUGACACCUAUAGAGAGAGAAAUAGCAUCCGAAAGUUAUCUGAUGAAGAUUACAGUUCGGGACAGUUCGCAGUGACCAAACGGGGUCGAAACUGAAAUGUUAAAAUUUCAGUGGACUUGUUAAGGAAAACCGAGUAUGCCUGUCGAAUUUGAGCUCAAUUGGACUGUCGGAAGGGCUCCAAUUAAAUGUAUCAGACUAGAAUUGGAUUGAAGUGAUAAGAUCGAUGACUUAUGGACCUAAAGGCAAUUGUUACAUGCUUAGUGGAUUUCCACUAACCGGCCAGGGGAAUCUCCUCCAUGCUUAUCCUCCUUUUCAUCCUCCUGUACGUAGAGAGAGAAGGAGAAAAGAAGUGAAAAGGGGAAAAAGAGAGAAGUAAUGGAUUUGGUGCCGUUUGACGAGCCGAUCGAAACGCCGCGCACCUAAUUUUUAGUGCUUCGACACUCGGGUUAGUAUUAUAAUAUUAUAAUCUCAAAUCAGAUUUUUUUUGAUGGAUUCUUGAUAGUAGAUGUUAAGAAAAGGUGUUUUGGAUGGAUUUAUUAGUUGAUAUAGCUUGGUUUUGCCAUAGAGAACUUAGGAAAAACCUAUAUAGGUAUCAUGUGUGCUUGUUGUGAGAAAGCUUAAGAACAUGAAAUGAGAAUCUGUUGGAAAGUAAUUUGUUGGAAGGAAACCUGAAGUAGAGUUAGUAUAUUUCUUUGAUAAGGUUUGUUUUUUUUAUUACCUUAAAUAAGGUCUAUUUUGGAUGUUCUUUGAUUGCUACAGUUUGUAGCUUCUAUAAAGCUUAGAGAAGCAUGCUGGUAGUAGGAGUGAACUUAGGCUUUCUAGGUUACUAAAAGCUGUUUGCUAUAAAUCCUAGGGAAUAGGCCUAUAUAGGUAUCAUGUAAAUGAACCUAGCUGUUGAGAAAAAUGAAGAGUAAAUUAUAAUUCCUGAUUAAAGCUUGAUUGUAUACCUUAAAGAAAUGAAUUUGUAGUAGAAUUCAGGAAUUCUGAAACUUUAAGAAUGAGAGGUAACAGAAGUUGAUCUCUAAUGUUCCUAAAUUAUUUAACAUUGGUAUUGAAGCCUAGGUUUCUAUAUAGGUUCUUAUAGAACCUAUAUAGAAACAGGUUGUAUUAAGCUAAUGUUUGGGUAGUAUUUAGAGCUCUAAACUCAAAAAUGCUAACUUGUAGGAUUGAGGCCCCAGCUUGAAAUUAAUCGCGUGGAAACCUAAUUGAGGGUAAAACAAACGCGUUGGCGAAGUCGGUUCGGCAAUCCGUCGCUCCUACGCGAAGAUAUCGCCAAAAGAAGAUUUUCGGCGACAAGUGUCGGGAGCGCGGGUCGCGAUUCGUGGAAAAGUGCGAGAAGUGGAUUUCUCUCAUUCCAGUACCAAAUAAAGGUGGGUUAUGCUUACCGAAGCGAUUAGGUCGCUUCCCAUGUCAAAGUAAAGUAUGGUCUCAUUUGAUGCAUAUAUGAAUAUAGUUGUCGAUAUAUGAAUAUAAAUGCUUGAUGCGUAUGAAUGAAUAGGCAUAAAUGGUGGUUGACAUAUUAUGAUUGUUGACAUACGAUAGUUAUCAGAUAAGUAUGAAUGCUACAUGCAUAUGAAUAUGAAUGCUAGAUGCAUAUGAAUGUAUUAUAGUUCAAACUAUAUGAACGUCGAUAAUUCUAAUUGAUAAAGGAACUUCGAUGUUGAUAAGUAAUUGAGAAUAUGUAAACUAUGAACCUAGGCAAGAGUACCUAGGAUGAUAUAUAGAUCGAGUGGCACGGCCUAGUGUCAGUAAACAUAGGUCUGACAUGAACCUAGUGUCAUUGGACAUAGGUCGAGUAAUUAAACCUAGAGUCGAGUUCUAGGUGAAAAUGAUAUAAAACCUAGCAAAUGAACCUAGGUUAUGAUAUAUAGUAAGACUUAGUACAUUUGAACUAAGUUGUGAAUAUUAGUGGUAUAGUGACCACUAGGAAAGGAUUGGUAUCGACCUAGGAGGGUCGUCAACAUAGGGUAAAGUGAGUAAACCCUCAAGUUGUGGAAAUGGAUUCCGGAAUCCCAAGAUCUAUUAUAACCUUGGUAUCAAGGCUAGGGCGUGUGCGACGAUUUCGCCGCCGAGAUUGAUACCAAGGCAGGAUUGGGUGUGUGCGCAGUGUCCACCACCCGGAGGCUUGAACCAUUGUUCGGCGUGUGCGACGAUUUCGCCGCCAGAUGGUUAAGCCAGCUUGUGGAUCCUACCGCCUGUUGACUGAACCACUGUCGUGGCGUGUGCGACGAUUUCGCCGCCGGGUGGCUAAGUCAUUGACCUAGGCUGUUGUUGGGUGAGGUGCGACUCGUUCGCCGCCAGACAGCUAGGACAGGAGUACGGUGAGCUGUCGCCAGCGGAGGUGCAUGUGAAGUUCCUUCACCUCGAGCUAGACAGUGCGCGGACUAUCCGCAAUUGAUUGACUCAAAACCGAGUCGGGUGGCAUAGUGAGAUUAAGGUAAGAGCAACCUUAAGAAAGAAUUUGCCAAUGAAUAUAGUGGGGCCAAGUUUAAGGUGUAGAACACCAAGUACAAGUACAAAGAAUAAAGAGCAAAACAUGAACGAUAAUGAAAUUAGCUAAUGAACGAGAAUAGCUAAGAAAUAAAAGAACGGCUAUAAGUAAAGAAUGGUUAAAGAUAUAAAGUAGAAUCAAGUAAUCUACUUACAUGAUUGACAGGUUUUGCAUAUUGCAUAGCAGCGAGGCAAGGUAUGGUUUUAUUUAUUGCUUAGUCAAAUAUCUAUCUAUCUAUCUAUUUGUUGAACUAACCUACUGUUGCCUCCUUUGGACCUGGUGGGUCGAGCUCUUCCCUUGGGUGGCCGUACCCACUGGGAACUAUAUUUAUAUAGUUCUCACCCCCGUGUUGUUUUGGGGGUACAGGUUGCACGCGAGCGGCGCGGCGGCGCGAGGAGAGGACAGGGCGUAGCUCCGUAGAUAGCGCCCCACCACUGAGACCGAGAUAGCAAUACCCUGAUGUGAUCGAGCUCAUAGAGUAUAAGAUGAAGAAACAAAUUUGUAGUAAAUUGUAUAAGUUUUGUAAUAACUUAAAGGUAUUUGUAAUAGUGUAAAUGUAAAAUUCUGAGAUGAAUGCUUGUAAUAGCAUAGCUCGCAUUUUUGUUUUUGAUACUAUGCAAUCUGUGGUUGAAUACAGUUCCUGUUUGGAACCUCUUGUAUCGCAUUGUAUAGAUUGUGACGCCUAGAACGUACAGGGGAGGUUCUGUCCGUUCGGCGGUCUGUCGGCGUGCCCGAAUCCGACCAAAUAGGCGGAGCUCGGGGCGUGACAGAUUAAAUGGUAUCAGAGCAUGAAAAGAGCAAUAGAAACGGUUUAAGCGGACCUAGGAGACCUAGGAUAGUAAACCGUAAGGACUUAUGUUCGUGAGAGACGAGGACUUGUGACGUGUGGCGAAAGGUAAAUCGAUUGGGUCAAGUUUAGUAAACCUCUAAGACGGAUAUUAGAGGUAGAUUCAAGGUUCAGUUUAUUCUCAGCCAAGUGAGUUCAUGUUGGGUCGACACAACAUGAAACCGAGGGAUGGGAAUAAGCUUCCUUGCAUGACUUUCGCCCGAUUUGAGUUUGUGUUAAUUAUUUCGUAUUCGACCCAGAGGGUCGAGGACUAACCGAGUUGUCGUGUCAUGUUUCAGGAAGCGAUGGCACCGCGUAGGCGAUCUUCGUCUAGAUUGGCGCGAGAUGGGACAGAUGGUGUCCCUGAGCAGACUGAGGCGAGCGGAGACUUGGAGCUUCGCGAUCAGUUGGCCACACUCGUGGGAGUGGUGAGGCAACAAGCGGAUGUAGUGCAACGUCAGCAGGAAACUGCUCUGCGACAAGAAGAGCGAAUAAAGAGACUUCAGGAAACAGUGGAUCAGUUAGUGACCGCACCAGUUUCGGCCUGUCGAGUACAGCCGGGAGUUGCGGCAGCGGCAUUUCCGUCGAGGUCGGGUGAUCCAACUGCUAUUGAUUCAGGGCCGGAAGCGGAAAGAGAGCGAGCUUUAGCGGCUCUCAUGUCCUUCAAGAAGUUUGAUCCAUGCGUUUGAUGGAGAGGACAUAGAUCCAUGGACUGUGGAGUCAUGGAUUGAUUCCAUAGAGACUAUCUUCGAGGAUUUGUACACGGUGGAGCGGGACAAGGUACACCUAGCCGUGCAUUGUCUACAAUUGUCGGCGAAGGAAUGGUGGAAAGGCGUUAAACGGAACCGAUCGCCUAGUCUUCCUUCUAUGGUUUGGGAAGAGUUUCGGGAAUUAAUGCGUUCAACUUAUUUCCCCGAUAGUGAAAAGAGAAAGCUUCAGAACAGGUUUCAGAAACUACGACAGGGAGACCGCCUUGUGAGGGAAUACGAGCGGGAAUUCUCUCGUAUCGUGAACUAUGUUCCAAGUGUGGUACGGGACGACAAGGAUCGAGCUGAUUGUUUUGUACGACUUCGGCCUGAUAUUUUUGAAGCAGUGCAUAAUCUAAAGUUGCAGACUUUUGCUGAAGUCUUGGAUCGGGCCUUAUGGAUAGAACAAGGCAAUGCAUCGGUGCAGGAGGAGCGCGAAUCUUAUUACAAGGAAAAAGAAAAAGAACGACCAGCGAGUGGGUAUGAUGGUCAGUCAAGUUCUCAGCGGACCACUGGGAGUUCGCGUUCGCGAUCCCGAGCUCCGGGGACGUAUCGUAGUCGGACCUCGGCAUGUUGUGUUAUUUGUGGGGGUCCUCACUACCCACAGCAGUGUGAGCAACAAGAUGGCAAGUGCUUCAGGUGUGGACGGCCAGGUCAUGCGCGGGACGAGUGUCCACGGGGUGCUAGCCAAGCCUUGAUGCUGGCGACGGCAUUCUCCUCUCCGGGACAACUUGUAGAUGUGCCACCUGUGGCACGGUCUGGAGAGCGAAUGAGGAUAAGGCAACCGAGGGGUUCGCGACGAACGACAAGUGGCCGUGGAUAGGUGUUCCAUGUGGAGGAACCUGCUACGACUGUUGGCAUUGUGACAGGUACGAGUUAAUCAAAGCAAGCAUGUAUUUCAAUAUGAUAUAAAUUGGUGCAUUGCAUGCUUUCUUUAUGUAUUCUAUUACUACUAUUUGUGCAUGAGGAUAGUAGUGAUUGAUUAUAGAGACCCGAACAUGCUUGUGGUGGAUGUGUAGUACCUGCUAUUGCAGAUAGGAGGCCAAAUGGCACUAGCAAAUUGCUGGUAAGAGCCUGUGAAUAAGACGUAAGACUCGUAGUAGAAAUGGUAGUAGCUGACCAACUCUCAAAUUAAUGCGAGUUGCUGAUUGCGAGAGUCUAGUCGCGGUGUUCGUGGAACUCGUGUAAGACCGAGCAUUUUGCAGGUUGUUCUAGUAGAUCGAACAGUGAAAGUGGAGUCACUGUUGCGUCUGGUACGUGCACGUGGACCUAACAAUACCUCGAAUUGAGGUCAAUGGGUCGUGCUCGUGUAGUUGAGUGCAUAGGCAAGAGUUGCCUGAUGCUAGACUUAAUAUAGCACGCGAUAGAGUCGUGUAGAGCGCUCUAGUGUUGGUGCUCGUAGAGUACAGAUUUGUUUCAGCCGUGAGUGCGUUGGCAGUAGCACUUUAGCAUUGCUAAGUGUGAAGCGUGCCAGAGGUCACUCGUAGGGCUGGUGGCUCGCACUAGGUGCGUAGGAGCCGAUAGUGGUAUGUGUGCGCGAUAGAGAGUGUCGUGUGAGACGACGUUUGCGGGUAGUGCUUGGGGACGAUCCGUGCCUGGACCACUUGUGGACUGUGGAGCCUGGGCCCAUUGGGCAGGCACAGUCGGCUGUGAGAGGCAGCGGCCCGGUACCUACGGGUAGGGCAGCGAGUUUUGGUCAGGACGGUAGUUCCAGCAUAGACCCGAGUACGUGGAAUGCCACGUGUUGGAUCGUGAAAUCGGUGAUGCACUAAGAGUGCGGUUGUGACCCAACCCGAGGACUUGGCGUGGUUUGGGGUCUCGGUUGCUCCCAGUUGGAGUAGGUAUAAGGUAUCUCAAAUGAGAACUUUGCUUCGUGAUAAUUGGGUUUACGCUUGCGAGCGAGAGGCAUUAUGUCGUGUCACGGUUGAGUUAGGCAAUCGGCCUAUAGCGGAUCGGUAACUUAUGAACCGAAUUGUGGUAUUGGUUUACUCGUUCAUACUGAAAGCGAGCGUAGUGGACCCAUUCCAGUGGCUUGUGAGUAGGGCCGUGAAAGCGAAGGCUUAGUCCUAUGGAUGAAUUAAUCAGACUUGCUACGAUAAGCAUCGAUAACGAGCUGAGAAUGGAAACGCGAACAAAGUGUUCGUAGAGACUGAUGUGGAGAAAUCAGUAUAGUAUAAAAUGAAAUUGAGAAACUGUAGAAUAGUAUUGGAAUUUAUCUCCAUCCGUUAAGUAAUGAGGAAUAAAAUGUAUCUAAGUUUCGCGGACGAAACUUUUGUUAACGGGAGGAGAAUGUAACAUAUGGAAAUUUGGAGUUGCGAUGUCAACUUUGAUCUCGGGGAUCAAAGUGAGGAUUGAGCUAGUUGGACAUCAUCCUCGAGUGAUUCGUGAUGCGUUGGAAUGAAUUUCGGAGAUAAAUAAGUGUUUCGGCGCAAAUUGGGCGCGAAACGAAAUGUAAAAAGAAAGAGAAUUUUCGGAUUUCCGACGCUAACUUUGAUUAAAAGAAUUAAAGUAAGGCGUGAGGAUAAAUUGUGGUAUCUCCGAAUCAAUUGUGAAGUUUUGGUAAAGCCAAGGGUGUGUUUUCACAGGGUUUUGAAGAGCUCAGUGCGAAGUGGUAGUGCAAAAAGGCCAUGUAAUGGAAUUGGAGCCGAUUCUAUUUCUAAUUCGGCUCAAAUAAUGUCAAAAUGAAAACGAAUUGCUUCCAAAUUGGAUUGGUAGCUUGUGAAGGUCCCUUGGUAUCUUUUGGACAUGUUUGGGUGAAAUCGGAGUGAAAACGGAAACUUUAGAAUUUUCUGUAAAGAACGGGACUGAGAAAAUUAGCGGAAAAUGCACAGUGUCAGAAAAUUAUGAAAAUUGGCAGAGAUGUCAGGAACAUUUUUAUGAGGCUAGAUUUGAAGUUUCAGAUUAUUCUGACACCUAUAGAGAGAGAAAUAGCAUCCGAAAGUUAUCUGAUGAAGAUUAUAGUUCGGGACAGUUCGCAGUGACCAAACGGGGUCGAAACUGAAAUGUUAAAAUUUCAGUGGACUUGUAAAGGAAAACCGAG